rnacentral:sRNA from 1 species
UGCAUCUGGGGCCAGUGAGGAUGAGAACCUCCGGGGGCAGGAGGUUCGACUCGAGCGAAGCGAGAGAACGUUGCGUCAGCAACGGCCCGCAGGGCGAGCCACGAAGUGGUGAG